rnacentral:rRNA from 1 species
AAACUUUCAACAACGGAUCUCUUGGUUCUCGCAUCGAUGAAGAACGCAGCAAAUGCGAUAAGUAUUGUGAAUUGCAGAAUUUUGUGAAUCAUCGAAUUUUUGAACGCACAUUGCACCUUCUGGUAUUCCGGAGGGUAUACCUGUUUGAGCGUCAUUU